AUUGAACGCUGGCGGCAGGCCUACCACAUGCAAGUCGAGCGGAGCGGCGGACGGGUAAGUAAUUCCUAGGACUCUGCAUGGUAGUGGGGGAUAACGUCCGGAAACGGGAGCUAAUACCGCAUACUAUCAGAUGAGCCUAGGGCGGAUUAGCUAGUGGGUGGGGUAAAGGCCUACCAAGGCGACGAUCCCUAACGGGUCUGAGAGGAUGAUCAGUCACACUGGAACUGAGACACGGUCCAGACUCCUACUGGAGGCAGCAGUGGGGAAUAUUGGACAAUGGGCGAAAGCCUGAUCCAGCCAUGCCGCGUGUGUGAAGAAGGUCUUCGGAUUGUAAAGGACUUUAAGUUGGGAGGCGUUACCAACAGAAUAAGCACCGGCUAACUUCGUGCCAGCAGCCGCGGUAAUAC
rnacentral:rRNA from 1 species